rnacentral:rRNA from 2 species
UGCUUACCAUGCAAGUCGAACGAUGAAGCCCUUCGGGGUGGAUUAGUGGCGAACGGGUGAGUAACACGUGGGCAAUCUGCCCUUCACUCUGGGACAAGCCCUGGAAACGGGGUCUAAUACCGGAUAACACUCUGUCCCGCAUGGGACGGGGUUAAAAGCUCCGGCGGUGAAGGAUGAGCCCGCGGCCUAUCAGCUUGUUGGUGGGGUAAUGGCCUACCAAGGCGACGACGGGUAGCCGGCCUGAGAGGGCGACCGGCCACACUGGGACUGAGACACGGCCCAGACUCCUACGGGAGGCAGCAGUGGGGAAUAUUGCACAAUGGGCGAAAGCCUGAUGCAGCGACGCCGCGUGAGGGAUGACGGCCUUCGGGUUGUAAACCUCUUUCAGCAGGGAAGAAGCGAAAGUGACGGUACCUGCAGAAGAAGCGCCGGCUAACUACGUGCCAGCAGCCGCGGUAAUACGUAGGGCGCAAGCGUUGUCCGGAAUUAUUGGGCGUAAAGAGCUCGUAGGCGGCUUGUCACGUCGGAUGUGAAAGCCCGGGGCUUAACCCCGGGUCUGCAUUCGAUACGGGCUAGCUAGAGUGUGGUAGGGGAGAUCGGAAUUCCUGGUGUAGCGGUGAAAUGCGCAGAUAUCACGAGGAACACCGGUGGCGAAAGGCGGAUCUCUGGGCCAUUACUGACGCUGAGGAGCGAAAGCGUGGGGAGCGAACAGGAUUAGA